rnacentral:tRNA from 2 species
GGAAGAGUGGCAGAGUGGUCGAUUGCAUCGGUCUUGAAAACCGACGAACCGCAAGGUUCCGUGAGUUCGAAUCUCACCUCUUCCGCCA